GAUGAACGCUGGCGGCGUGCUUAACACAUGCAAGUCGAACGAACCUUCGGGUUAGUGGCGGACGGGUGAGUAACGCGUGAGAAUCUGCCCUCAGGAGGGGGAUAACGGUUGGAAACGACCGCUAAUACCCCAUAUGCCUACUGGUGAAAUGAAUUUCGCCUGAGGAUGAGCUCGCGUCUGAUUAGCUAGUUGGUGAGGUAAUGGCUCACCAAGGCUUCGAUCAGUAGCUGGUCUGAGAGGAUGAUCAGCCACACUGGGACUGAGACACGGCCCAGACUCCUACGGGAGGCAGCAGUGGGGAAUUUUCCGCAAUGGGCGAAAGCCUGACGGAGCAACGCCGCGUGAGGGACGAAGGCCUCUGGGCUGUAAACCUCUUUUCUCAAGGAAGAAGAUAUGACGGUACUUGAGGAAUAAGCCACGGCUAAUUCCGUG
rnacentral:rRNA from 1 species